rnacentral:tRNA from 1 species
UGUAGCUCAGUAGUAGAGCAUGUGCUUAGCAUGUAUAAGGUCCUGGGUUUGAUGCCUAGCA